GGAGUUAGCCGGUGCUUCUUCUGUGAGUGAUGUCCUUCCUGCCGGCUAUUAACCCGCAGGCCUUCUUCCUCACUGAAAGUGCUUUACAACCCGAAGGCCUUCUUCACACACGCGGCAUGGCUGGAUCAGGGUUGCCCCCAUUGUCCAAUAUUCCCCACUGCUGCCUCCCGUAGGAGUCUGGGCCGUGUCUCAGUCCCAGUGUGGCUGAUCAUCCUCUCAGACCAGCUACGGAUCGUCGCCUUGGUGAGCCGUUACCUCACCAACCAGCUAAUCCGACAUAGGCUCAUCCGAUAGCGCGAGGCCCGAAGGUCCCCCGCUUUCCCCCGUAGGGCGUAUGCGGUAUUAGCCUGGGUUUCCCCCAGGUUAUCCCCCACUACCGGACAGAUUCCUAUGCAUUACUCACCCGUCCGCCGCUCGCCACCAGGGAGCAAGCUCCCCGUGCUGCCGCUCGACUUGCAUGUGUUAGGCCUGCCGCCAGCGUUCAAUCUGAGCCAUAAUCAAACUCUGA
rnacentral:rRNA from 1 species